CCUACGGGCGGCUGCAGUGAGGAAUAUUGGUCAAUGGUCGAGAUCCUGAACCAGCCAAGCCGCGUGAGGGAAGACGGUCCUGUGUGUUGUAAACCUCUUUUGUCAGGGAACAAAGACUGGGACGUGUCCCGGACUGCGUGUACCCGAAGAAAAAGCAUCGGCUAACUCCGUGCCAGCAGCCGCGGUAAUACGGAGGAUGCGAGCGUUAUCCGGAUUUCUUGGGUUUAAAGGGUGCGUAGGCGGUCCGUUAAGUCAGCGGUAAAAGCCCGGGGCUCAACCCCGGCCCGCCGUUGAAACUGGCAGACUUGAGUUGGCGAGAAGUACGCGGAAUGCGCGGUGUAGCGGUGAAAUGCAUAGAUAUCGCGCAGAACUCCGAUUGCGAAGGCAGCGUACCGGCUCCAGACUGACGCUGAGGCACGAAAGCGUGGGGAUCGAACAGGAUUAGAUACCCGGGUAGUC
rnacentral:rRNA from 1 species